rnacentral:siRNA from 1 species
CCAUAGGAGGAGGAUUGCCUCC